CCUACGGGAGGCAUCAGUGGGGAAUAUUGCACAAUGGGGGAAACCCUGAUGCAGCGACGCCGCGUGAGUGAAGAAGUAUUUCGGUAUGUAAAGCUCUAUCAGCAGGGAAGAAAAUGACGGUACGUGAAUAAGAAGGCACGGCUAACUACGUGCCAGCUGACGCGGUAAUACGGAGGGGGCAAGCGUUAUCCGGAUUUACUGGGGGGAAAGGGAGCGGAGGUGGGAUGUUAAGCCAGAAGUGAAAACCCGGGGCUCAACCCCGAGGUUUGCCGUUGGAACUAUCAGGCUGGAGUGCUGGAGGGGUAAGCGGAAUUCCUAGUGUAGCGGUGAAAUGCGUAGAUAUUAGGAGGAACACCGGUGGCGAAGGCGGCUUACUGGACAGAAACUGACACUGAGGCUCGAAAGCGUGGGGAGCAAACAGGAUUAGAUACCCUAGUAGUC
rnacentral:rRNA from 1 species